UGUGUGCCCAUCUGGGGCGUCAA
rnacentral:misc_RNA from 1 species